rnacentral:rRNA from 1 species
CCACGGGUGGCUGCAGUGAGGAAUAUUGGUCAAUGGACGGAAGUCUGAACCAGCCAUGCCGCGUGCAGGAUGACGGCUCUAUGAGUUGUAAACUGCUUUUGUACGAGAAUAAUAGUUCUUACGUGUAAGGAGUUGAAUGUAACGUACGAAUAAGGAUCGGCUAACUUCGUGACAGCAGCCGCGGGCAUACGGAGGAUUCGAGGGUUAUCCGGAUUUAUUGGGUUGAAAGGGGGGGUAGGCUGUCGGAUAAGGUAGAGGUCAAAUGUCGGGGCUUAACCCCGUGACUGCCUUUGAUACUGUUCGCCUAGAGAGCGGAUGCAGCAGGCGGAAUGAGUAGUGUAGCGGUGAAAUGCUUAGAUAUUACGCAGAACACCGAUUGCGCAGGCAGCUUGCUAAUCCGCAUCUGACGCUGAUGCACGAAAGCGUGGGUAGCGAACAGGAUUAGAUACCCUUGUAGUC